AGGAUGAACGCUGGCGGCGUGCCUAAUACAUGCAAGUCGAGCGGUAACACCUAGGGUGACGAGCGGCGGACGGCUGAGUAACGCGUAGGAAUGUACCCCGAAGUGAGGGAUAAGCACCGGAAACGGUGUCUAAUACCGCAUAUUCUCUUAGGAGCAAAGCAGCAAUGCGUUUUGGGAACGGCCUGCGUCUGAUUAGCUUGUUGGUGAGGUAAAAGCUCACCAAGGCGACGAUCGGUAGCUGGUCUGAGAGGAUGAUCAGCCAGACUGGGACUGAGACACGGCCCAGACUCCUACGGGAGGCAGCAGUAGGGAAUUUUCCACAAUGGGCGAAAGCCUGAUGGAGCAACGCCGCGUGCAGGAUGAAGGCCUUCGGGUCGUAAACUGCUUUUGUUAGUGACGAUUAUGACGGUAGCUAACGAAUAAGGGUCUGCUAACUACGUGCCAGCAGCCGGC
rnacentral:rRNA from 1 species